AGUACGUUCGCAAGAAUGAAACUCAAAGGAAUUGACGGGGGCCCGCACAAGCGGAGGAGCAUGUGGUUUAAUUCGAUGAUACGCGAGGAACCUUACCAAGGCUUAAAUGUAAUAUGACCGGUUGAGAGAUCAACCUUUUUUCGAACAGAUUACAAGGUGCUGCAUGGUUGUCGUCAGCUCGUGCCGUGAGGUGUCGGGUUAAGUCCCAUAACGAGCGCAACCCCUAUUUUUAGAUACCAGCGAGUAAUGUCGGGAACUCUAGAAAAACUGCCUGUGUAAACAGAGAGGAAGGUGGGGAUGACGUCAAAUCAUCACGGCCCUUAUGCCUUGGGCUACACACGUGCUACAAUGGUUACUACAAUGUGAUGCCAUCUGGUGACAGAGAGCUAAUCAAUAAAGGUAAUCUCAGUUCGGAUUGGAGUCUGCAACUCGACUCUAUGAAGUUGGAUUCGCUAGUAAUCGUAUAUCAGCCAUGAUACGGUGAAUACGUUCCCGGGCCUUGUACACACCGCCCGUCAAGCCAUGGAAGUUUGGGGUACCUGAAGUCAGUAACCGCAAGGAACUGCCUAGGGUAAAACGAAUAACUAGGGCUAAGUCGUAACAAGGUAACC
rnacentral:rRNA from 1 species